GAUGAACGCUGGCGGCGUGCCUAAUACAUGCAAGUCGAGCGAACGGACGAGAAGCUUGCUUCUCUGAUGUUAGCGGCGGACGGGUGAGUAACACGUGGAUAACCUACCUAUAAGACUGGGAUAACUUCGGGAAACCGGAGCUAAUACCGGAUGAUAUUUUGAACCGCAUGGUUCAAAAGUGAAAGACGGUCUUGCUGUCACUUAUAGAUGGAUCCGCGCUGCAUUAGCUAGUUGGUAAGGUAACGGCUUACCAAGGCAACGAUGCAUAGCCGACCUGAGAGGGUGCUCGGCCACACUGGAACUGAGACACGGUCCAGACUCCUACGAGAGGCAGCAGUAGGGAAUCUUCCGCAAUGGGCGAAAGCCUGACGGAGCAACGCCGCGUGAGUGAUGAAGGUCUUCGGAUCGUAAAACUCUGUUAUUAGGGAAGAACAUAUGUGUAAGUAACUGUGCACAUCUUGACGGUACCUAAUCAGAAAGCCACGGCUAACUACGUG
rnacentral:rRNA from 1 species